CAGACAGAUACGAAAAUACAACGAAGCGUGCAUGACCGAAACCAGAAGAGAUUAAAGUAAAACCUCAUUCUCCUGAGGAAAUCGUGUGAGAAGGGACUUAGGGACUGCCGGAACACAGCGAAGCAGAGGCAGAAGGCAGACAAAAGGGGCUGGGUUGGUCCCCGCCUGUGUGAACGAAAAAAUAUGUCAGAUUGGAAAAUUGCGGUAAAAAC
rnacentral:lncRNA from 1 species